AUAAAAGCUGUGAUGAGGAGGAGUAUGCAGACUCUUUUCAGCUUAAUGCAGCAUUUUGUAAAUUGCAAACGUUACAAUGCUGUUUCCAGAGAGAUGACGGUCGGUGAAAGUCAUUGCUGAAAUUCUGCGGAAGGUAGCCUCUGAGCUUUGAGGGUGAACAAUCAUCAGCUCUUUUGUCUGUUUAAAGUAAUCCUCAACGUAAUCCCAACGUUACAUGGGAAGCGGUUUUUUCAGACCGCACAGAGUGCAGAGCGAUGCUCUGAAUUCAGGUGGUAACACGGACUUUUGUCCGCCCUGAAC
rnacentral:ncRNA from 1 species